rnacentral:rRNA from 1 species
ACUCAAAUGAAUUGACGGGGGCCCGCACAAGCAGCGGAGCAUGUGGUUUAAUUCGACGCAACGCGAAGAACCUUACCUGGGCUUGACAUGUUUCUGACAGGUGUAGAGAUACACCCUCCCUUAGGGGCAGAUUCACAGGUGGUGCAUGGCUGUCGUCAGCUCGUGUCGUGAGAUGUUGGGUUAAGUCCCGCAACGAGCGCAACCCCCGUCGUAUGUUGCCAGCAUUUAGUUGGGGACUCAUACGAGACUGCCGGUGACAAACCGGAGGAAGGUGGGGAUGACGUCAAGUCCUCAUGCCCCUUAUGUCCAGGGCUACACACGUGCUACAUUGGCCGGUACAAAGGGCUGCGAUACCGCGAGGUGGAGCGAAUCCCACAAAGCCGGUCUCGGUUCGGAUUGGAGGCUGAAACUCGCCUCCAUGAAGGUGGAGUUGCUAGUAAUCCCGGAUCAGCAACGCCGGGGUGAAUACGUUCCCGGGCCUUGCACACACCGCCCGU